UACGUAGGGUGCGAGCGUUAAUCGGAUUUACUGGGCGUAAAGCGUGCGCAGGCGGCCCGUUAAGACAGGUGUGAAAUCCCUGGGCUCAACCUAGGAAUUGCGCUUGUGACUGGCGGGCUCGAGUACGGUAGAGGGGGGUGGAAUUCCUGGUGUAGCAGUGAAAUGCGUAGAGAUCAGGAGGAACACCGUUGGCGAAGGCAGCCCCCUGGGCCUGUACUGACGCUCAUGCACGAAAGCGUGGGGAGCAAACAGG
rnacentral:rRNA from 1 species